UACAGAGGGUGCGAGCGUUAAUCGGAAUUACUGGGCGUAAAGCGCACGUAGGUGGCGACGUAAGUCGGGUGUGAAAGCCCCGGGCUCAACCUGGGAAUUGCAUUGGAAACUGGCGGGCUUGAGUGUGGCAGAGGGGGGUGGAAUUCCACGUGUAGCAGUGAAAUGCGUAGAGAUGUGGAGGAACACCGAUGGCGAAGGCAGCCCCCUGGGCUAACACUGACGCUCAGGCACGAAAGCGUGGGGAGCAAACAGG
rnacentral:rRNA from 1 species